rnacentral:lncRNA from 1 species
UAUACUACUAGUGUAUUUGACUUCUAAUAUGCGUUCAGAUUAGUACUGCUAGUAUUACUAGCAGUAUUAAUCUUUAUGGUACAGGUAUUAUAGUUUAGGCAGGAAUAACUAUAAAGAGUUUUUGACUGUUAACAGUCUUAAACUCUAUAAAGUUGUUCCUGCCUAAACUAUAACGCCUGUAUCAUACAGAAUAGUACUAUCUAUAACUAAUGUCUAAUAACUAAUAAUUACUAGUAAUAUACAAGUGUCUUAUAAUUAGUUAUUAGACACAUUAGUAUAGUAAUUAGAUCUAUAUAUUAUAAGAUAGUUAUUAUUACUUAUUUAACAGUUGACAAGAUAGUUUUGUUCGCCAUAUUGUAGUGGAUAAAACACUCUUAUAUUUGUGAUCUACAAUGGUUUAGUUAGGAGAAUGCAUGACUACUGGUAUAGAAUAGAAUACAAGAUAGAAAACAAGACUAAAUAGAAAGCAAGACUAACUAGGAAAUAGGAAAUAACGCAUUCACCUUCCUUUAAUAAAUUAAGAAACUAUGAUUGUAUCAAGUUAACUAUAUUUUAUGGUAGGCAAGUUGGCAUACCUGCAAGACUUACAAGUAAAGAACAUAAAAAUGCCUUGAACAAUAUAUGAUUAAAUGAACAAAGAAUAAAAAAUGCAUUAUCUGAAAAUCAAUUAGAAUGUAGAAUGAAGAUUAAUUAUCAGUCUGGAAGUGGGUUUAGUUGUUCCUCUCCUGUCUUAAUUCCUAGAGAUACAAUUAAAAAAAAGUUGUUAGGUUUGGCUGAUAUUAGUAGUCAGGUUGGAGUUUCAGCAAAAACGCUAUUUAUUCUAGAACACAAUUUUUACAAAAAUUCUGUUUUGAAUAAAAUAUUCUAAAAAUAUAAUAAGGCAACUUAACGUGAUCUUGUACAAAUAAUUGCCAUCGCCAUGCUACACUAAUAGCUGAUUAUACGGUUUCGGAUGCUGAAAUGACUAUCAAACUUCAGCAGCUUACUAUCUUUUUUAUAGGGAAAGUGUCUUGGAGCUUUUUAUCAAAACUCCUGUAUAUAUAUAAAGAUAUUUUGAUUUGUUUGAAUAGUUUUUAAAGUAGCUAUUUUUAUUUUUUUAAUGAUUGAUUUUUGCAAGAAAUAUUGUUAUGAGAAAAACAAAAGAACACAAUAAAAUUUACUAAAGUUUUUUUAACAAGAUGUAAAGCAAGACUUUUAAAAGCAAUUAAAGUUAAGAGUAGCACUGCAAGCAGUUUAAAUGAAUUAGGUCGACAAGAUAUUAUUAAGUUUGGAUCAAAAUACAGAUCUAGCCCAGACACUGUUGAAAACAAAAUCAUUAACGAAAUAGCAUAAAAGAUGCGAACCUUUUCCGAAGUUCUAACGACAUUAAAACUUAUUUUUUUAAAGUUAAUUUAAAACAGUUCCGAAUAAAAUUUAUACUUUGAA